rnacentral:rRNA from 1 species
GAUGAACGCUGGCGGCGUGCCUAAUACAUGCAAGUCGAGCGCAGAAGGUUGGUACUUGCACCAAUUGGAUGAGCAGCGAACGGGUGAGUAACGCGUGGGUAACCUGCCUUUGAGCGGGGGAUAACUUCUGGAAACGAAAGCUAAUACCGCAUAAAAACUUUAAACACAAGUUUUAAGUUUGAAAGAUGCAAUUGCUUCACCUAAAGAUGAUCCCGCGUUGUAUUAGCUAGGUGGUGAGGUAAAGGCCUAACAAGGCGAAGAUACAUAGCCGACCUGAGAGGGUGGUCGGCCACAUCUGGAAUGAGGCCACGCCUAAACUCCUACCGGAAGGAGCAGUAGGGGAUCUUCGGCCAUAGGCGGAAGUCUGAACGGAGAACGGCGGGUGGGUGGAGAAAGUUUUCGGGACGUAAAACUCUGUUGAUAGGGGAGGACGUUAGUGGUAGUGAAAAACGCACGUAGUGACGGUAACUACCCAGAAAGCGACGGCUAACUACGUG